GAGAAAGCUCACAAGAACUGCUAACUCAUGC
rnacentral:piRNA from 1 species